rnacentral:rRNA from 1 species
AUACGGAGGAUCCAAGCGUUAUCCGGAAUCAUAGGGUUUAAAGGGUUCGUAGGCGGGUUUAUAAGUCAGUGGUGAAAGUUUGCGGCUCAACCGUAAAAUUGCCAUUGAUACUGUAGAUCUUGAAUUAGUGUGAAGUGAUUAGAAUAAGUAGUGUAGCGGUGAAAUGCAUAGAUAUUACUUAGAAUACCAAUUGCGAAGGCAGGUCACUAACACUAUAUUGACGCUGAGGGACGAAAGCGUGGGGAGCGAACAGGAUUAGAAACCCUAGUAGUCC